UACGUAGGGGGCAAGCGUUGUCCGGAAUCAUUGGGCGUAAAGCGCGUGUAGGCGGCCCGAUAAGUCCGCUGUGAAAGUCCAGGGCUCAACCCUGGAAUGCCGGUGGAUACUGUCGGGCUCGAAUCCGGAAGAGGUGAGUGGAAUUCCUGGUGUAGCGGUGAAAUGCGCAGAUAUCAGGAGGAACACCAAUGGCGAAGGCAGCUCACUGGGACGGUAUUGACGCUGAGACGCGAAAGCGUGGGAGCAAACAGG
rnacentral:rRNA from 1 species